rnacentral:rRNA from 1 species
CCUACGGGGGGCAGCAGUGAGGAAUAUUGGUCAAUGGACGGAAGUCUGAACCAGCCAUGCCGCGUGCAGGAAGACGGCUCUAUGAGUUGUAAACUGCUUUUGUACAAGGGUAAACCUGAAUACGUGUAUUCAGCUGAAAGUACUGUACGAAUAAGGAUCGGCUAACUCCGUGCCAGCAGCCGCGGUAAUACGGAGGAUCCAAGCGUUAUCCGGAUUUAUUGGGUUUAAAGGGUUCGUAGGCGGAUUGAUAAGUUAGAGGUGAAAUGUCCGGGCUUAACUCGGGAACUGCCUUUAAUACUGUUGAUCUAGAGAGGAUAUGCGGUAGGCGGAAUGUAUGGUGUAGCGGUGAAAUGCUUAGAGAUCAUACAGAACACCGAUUGCGAAGGCAGCUUACCAAUCUAUAUCUGACGUUGAGGCACGAAAGCGUGGGGAGCGAACAGGAUUAGAUACCCGGGUAGUC